rnacentral:rRNA from 1 species
UACGGAGGGUGCAAGCGUUAUCCGGAUUCACUGGGUUUAAAGGGUGCGUAGGUGGGUUGGUAAGUCAGUGGUGAAAUCUCCGAGCUUAACUUGGAAACUGCCAUUGAUACUAUCAGUCUUGAAUAUUGUGGAGGUCAGCGGAAUAUGUCAUGUAGCGGUGAAAUGCUUAGAUAUGACAUAGAACACCAAUUGCGAAGGCAGCUGGCUAGACCUGUAUUGACGCUGAGGCACGAAAGCGUGGGGAGCGAACAGG